rnacentral:sRNA from 1 species
UGCAUCUGAGGCCAGUGAGGAUGAGAACCUCCGGGGGCAGGAGGUUCGACUCGAGCGAAGCGAGAGAACGUUGCGUCAGCAACGGCCCGCAGGGCGAGCCACGAAGUGGUGAGUCAUCCUCUA